AUUGAACGCUGGCGGCAGGCUUAACACAUGCAAGUCGAGCGGGGGAGGUUGCUUCGGUAACUGACCUAGCGGCGGACGGGUGAGUAAUGCUUAGGAAUCUGCCUAUUAGUGGGGGACAACAUUCCGAAAGGGAUGCUAAUACCGCAUACGCCCUACGGGGGAAAGCAGGGGAUCUUCGGACCUUGCGCUAAUGGAUGAGCCUAAGUCGGAUUAGCUAGUUGGUGGGGUAAAGGCCUACCAAGGCGACGAUCUGUAGCGGGUCUGAGAGGAUGAUCGGCCACACUGGGACUGAGACACGGCCCAGACUCCUACGGGAGGCAGCAGUGGGGAAUAUUGGACAAUGGGCGGAAGCCUGAUCCAGCCAUGCCGCGUGUGUGAAGAAGGCCUUUUGGUUGUAAAGCACUUUAAGCGAGGAGGAAGCUACUAGUACUAAUACUACUGGAUAGUGGACGUUACUCGCAGAAUAAGCACCGGCUAACUCUGUGCCAGCCGCCGCAGUAAUAC
rnacentral:rRNA from 1 species